UACAGAGGUCUCAAGCGUUGUUCGGAUUCAUUGGGCGUAAAGGGUGCGUAGGCGGCGCGGUAAGUCGGGUGUGAAAUCCCGGAGCUUAACUCCGAAACUGCAUUUGAUACUGCCGUGCUUGAGGACUGGAGAGGAGACUGGAAUUUACGGUGUAGCGGUGAAAUGCGUAGAUAUCGUAAGGAAGACCAGUGGCGAAGGCGGGUCUCUGGACAGUUCCUGACGCUGAGGCACGAAGGCCAGGGGAGCAAACGGG
rnacentral:rRNA from 1 species